rnacentral:tRNA from 1 species
GCUAGGGUAGCCUAGUCGUUAGGCAGCGGGCUGCAGACCCGCUUACGCAGGUUCAAGCCCUGCCCCUAGCUCCA